ensembl:lncRNA
CUGCACUUUAUUUAUGCCUAAAGGCUAAGGCAAGGAACCAGGGAACUCAGGUGACAACAGGGAACAGGGAACACGCAGGACGAACAACCACAAUGAUAGCACCAGGAACAAAGGAAAGACAAGGGCUUAAGUAACAAACACAACGAGGAACAGCUGAGACACAUUAGGGGAGGGAACAGUAAUCAACACAGGAGGGAAACACACCAAAACACGACAGACCAUGACAGUACCCCCCCCUUAAGGGUCGCCUCCCAGGCGACCCACGACAAGCAAAAAAACAAAGAAAGUCACACCCCAAAACGGGUGGGUGGAGGGGUGCCAGGCGGGGGGAAUAAAAAAAAAUGGACUGGGGCAGAGCAGAGGGACGUCAGGCGGGCGGCCAGAAAACUGCCCCAGGGCAUGGCAGGGAGCCUCAGGUGGACGGCCUGGGGGGCAAGCAGAGGCAGAGUGAAGGCGGAACCCUUCAGGAGGCCGACGGCAAGGACGAUGAGGGCUCAGUCCCUCAGGAGGCCUGCAGCGGCACGGAAACCCCUCUGAAGGCCAGCAGUGGCGAAGGCGAGGUAGAGGGCGGGUCCCCUCAGGAGGAAGGCGAGGUGGAGGGCGGGUCCCCUCUGGAGGAAGGCCAGGAAGAGGGCGGGUCCCCUCUGGAGGAAGGCCAGGAAGAGGGCGGGUCCCCUCUGGAGGAAGGCCAGGUAGAGGGCGGGUCCCCUCUGGUGGAAGGCCAGGUAGAGGGCGGGUCCCCUCUGGAG